CCGGGCUUCCCGGCCUGGGGGCAGAGGAAUAAAAAAAUGUUCUGUAUUCCCCUCACCCCACUGUAUUCCCCUCACCCCACUCCUCCCGCACCAACAACCUCCCUCAUCAUUGUGGCACACUCAUCGCACACCGCCAACACAUUUUGGGGCACUGCUGCGCCACAUAGAUAAUAGUUUACCCUGUAGUUCACCCUCUCUCCCAGUCCAUCCAGUAGGUUAUGGCAGGAUAUAAAAUCUAGCAUCUGACCCUGCCAUAUCAUUCAGAACAACUCCAAGUCCUGAAAAUGCCCCCACAUCACAUCUCUUCUUUCAUCUCCCUGCCCUCAGCAACUACUGUGGCCACUUUCUCCACAUCAAUAAGUUGGCAGUUCUUCCAAUCAAAUAUCCUCUCAACCUAUUUUUGUUCCCAUUUUCCCCCAGGAAGAAUUAGUCGACCAGGAAGAAUUAGCAGUUAUCUAGCCACAGGAACCUGCACACUGGGCUGGUUGACGCCUGCCCUGUCAAGUCUCCAUGAUGCUGGGUCCCGAGGGAGGCGAAGGAUUCGUGGUCAAGCUCUGUGGCUUGCCCUGGCCUUGCUCUAUUGAGGAUGUGCAGAAUUUCCUCUCCAACUGCAAAAUUCAAGAUGGAGCGUCAGGCUUUCAUUUCAUCUGCACCAGGGAAGGCAGACGGAGUGGUGAGGCUUUUGUUGAACUCACAUUAGAAGAUUAUACCAAGUGGCCCUGAAAAAAGGACAGAGAAACCAGAGGACACAGAUGUACUGACAUAUUCAAGUCUUAAACAGAACCAAAAUGGGUGCUGAAGUACAGUGCCGCAUUUAGUACUAGUUAAGACAGUUCAAGUUGAUACAGCUUAUUUUCUAGGAAAACCCUUCUUUUGUCUAUGCAAGAACAGUAAGUGGUUAUUUUUUUAUUUUUUAAAAAAAAUUUAUGUAUUUUUAAAGAUACAUAGAUUACACAAAAUAUUAUUUUUUACAGAAGUCUGUACUUUAUGCAGUUACUCACAGUUACUAUGCUAUCAUAACUGAAAUUUCAGUUGUGCUGUUGGGAGACUGAUAUUUAAUUGAUGCCUUCUCUGAUGUGGGAGUCCACUCUAGCAGGCUCCUUCAAGCAUUCUGUCAACCCUGGAUGUUGACUUGCCACCUGUUAGCUAUAACUUGGAUAUUUAAAUUUCUUAGUGCUUUGAGACU
rnacentral:lncRNA from 1 species